rnacentral:rRNA from 1 species
GACGAACGCUGGCGGCGUGCUUAACACAUGCAAGUCGAACGGAAAGGCCCUGCUUUUGUGGGGUGCUCGAGUGGCGACCGGGUGAGUAACACGUGAGUCACCUGCCCUUGACUUUGGGAUAACUUCAGGCACCUGGGGCUAAUACCGGAUAGGAGCUCCUGCUGCAUGGUGGGGGUUGGAAAGUUUCGGCGGUUGGGGAUGGACUCGCGGCUUAUCAGCUUGUUGGUGGGGUAGUGGCUUACCAAAGCAUUGAAGGGUAGCCGGCCUGAAAGGGUGACCGGCCACAUUAGGACUGAGGAACAGCCCAGAAACCUAGGGGGGGCAGCAGCAGGAAAAUUUUAGCCAGAGGCGGAGGCCUGAGACAGCAACACCACGAGCGGGAUGACGGCCUUGGGGUUGGAGACCGCUUUCGCCUGUGACGAAGCGUGAGUGACGGUAAUGGGUAAGGAGGCACCGGCUAACUACGUG